CUGCUGAUGAUGGAAACCUUCUUCAGAACUUUAAAUGAGCCCAAACAUGACAUGUACUCAGAAACAGGCGCUAAAUAAAACUCAUCUGAAUAAACAAAGAACCAACAAACAGGUCAGAUCAUGAUGGAAUAAAACAAAAAACCAACAGAGACGUGAUGGGUCCCAUCCAGACCCCGCUGGCUUCAUGAAAACCCUGUGUGACCUCUGUCUCAUCUUCUGUAUCUGCUGACCUUUAGUGGAGAAUAGAUUAGAAUAUCAAUCAAACUGGAUCAAUACAGCACCUUUCAACAAGUCUUGCAUUGGCUAAGGUUCUUUACAAAAUAAAAAACACAAAAACAGUGUCAAGUAAAAACAAUAUUAGCUUUAAAAUAAAAUUAGAACGACCAAAACAUAAGAAAUACAAAAGAAAUGUGGUAUAGUUAUUAAUAAUCACAUAUACAGAUUAGUGAAAUGUUCAACUGGGUAGUUGUGACUAGUUGUAAUUGUGCAUAAGAAAAAAACAACAAACUAUUGAAAAACUGGUCAAAUACCAGCAGGGAUGUGAACACUUAUUGAGCUUGUUGGGAGCAGAGAUGGUUCUAAAGUCUUCCUCAGUGUUCCCAGAACCUUUCUCUGUUCCUCAGCCCUGGAACAAACUGCCUGAAAACCUGAGAUGUUAAAAAACUUUUUAAAUGUCAUGUCUGUGUUCCUCAACAACCAACAAACAGUUUGGUUUUGGUCAUGCGUGUUUUUGAUCUGUGGUAAGAAGCUGGAGUACCCAGAGAGACCCCACAUGUUGCUGCAGGGCAGCAGUGCUAACAUCUGCAUCACCUUGUAGCCUUCUAGAAGUUCCUGCUCCUUAUAAAUCAAAAUCACCUCCAUCUCUAUCCCUGGUCUCCAUGUGAACCAACUUAUGAAAUUAACUUAAUAUUUAUCAAUAUCUUUCUUUUUAUCUUGUACCUGUGAUGCUUUAUAAAAUCUGUAAAUGGAGAAAAUCUGAUCAAAUAUUGUUGAGAUGUCGGCUUCUGGAAACAAGUCUAGAAUAGGUUCGGUUCAGUGUUUUUUCAGGACGGAUAUUACUGGCGACAAACAUCGCCCCCUGAUGGAAAGUUUCUAGCAUUACAAUGUUUGUACAGAAAGAGGUUUGAUUGACAGCGUUUUGUUUAGCUUGUUUUAAAGUAAUUUAUGAAUAAAGUAAUAUUAAAUAAACUUUUUUGGCAGACUUCAGCUGUAAAACGUCCCAUUUAUACGAAAAGAAAAAAAUGAGAAACAUGAGUCAGAUAUUCAUAAAGAACACAGAGGAGCAUUGAUCCUCCACUACCAGCUGAAGAUUAUUAGAGAUGGUUUAUAACUCCUGUGAUGAUCAGAAUCUUCUGGACUCCAGGAAAACAGACAUUUCCACAUCUUUAUACAUCUAUAAGCCAAGAUUUUAUUCAGCUGAUUAAAUCCUUUUGGAGUAAACACAGUUUGGUCAGAUAUGAAACUAUAAAAUCAAACAGUUCAAUUUAAAAAAAUGUGUUUAAUAUCCUAAAAUAUCCUUCAGUUAAACAGGCUUUAAGAGCUUUUUAGUUUAUUAAAGUAAAACAUGACGUAAAAUGUAUUCAUGCACAACGUCUUCUGUGGUCUCAGCAGUUGAGUCUGAUGCGUCUUCAUCGCUCGAAGGCAUCAGGCUUCAUUUGCUUCUUGCUCUUCACCUGCAGAGGAACAUAGAGAGUGAUGAAGAUCAGGAGACAGUAUCUGAGGAAGCUUGAUUAUAUCAUGAAGGACUUUUAUUUAAAUUAUUUAACUAUCCCCAUCUCAGACUCUACAUGCCUUAGUUAAUAUGUCAAAUGUUAAAGUUCAUGACAGGACAUUUACAGAAGACAAGAAUGGCUUCUUUGGAAGGGUUGAAGGUGAAAGCCUCUAAUAUCUUCUCUCAGAUGGAAAAUGUACAGAUGAGACCAAAGUAGAGAUGUUUGGCUAUAAUGCACAGCAGCAUGCCUGGAGAAAACCCAAACAGCAUAUUGACACUGUUAAACACGGUGGUGGAUGGUUGAUGAUAUGGGCUUGCUCUUCAGCAACAAAUCCUGGUCAUUGAGUGGAUCAUGAACCCCUCUGGAUACCAAAGCAUUCCAGACUCUGCUCCAGACAGGAAUAUUCCCCAAACACCCGCUCAGUGACAGGAACUUCACAGGACCUUUUGUUCUUGCAGCUGCAGUAAAACACAAGGGAGGCAGUAAAACUCUUAUCAUCCACUUCCUGCUGCAGAUCACUACAAUACCCAUAAUCCCAUCCUGUUGCAGUGAGUGGGCUGGUCUGAGCAGAGAAAAUGGUCAAAGUGAUCCACAAUCAAGGAGGAAACAGAUUAAUCAUGAAUUUAAAGGCUUGUAGUUGUUAGACAAAUGCACUUUGGGAGUUGUAGUUCAUUUAGCUACUGUAUUGUUUUAUUGGUUGAUGAAAAAAGUAUUUAUUAUCUGUAAAAUAUAAUUGAUCCUGUCAGGAUAUUACAGUAAAAGACAUUCCUCUUCCUGUGUGAUUCCUGCAGUAAUAAUACCAGAAGCUCUGCAGAAAGUGGACUUAUUUCCUCACAUGCUUCCCUUCAGCAUUAGAACUGUUCUGACCACAGCAUUUCAGAGUUUCCUUACAGAUCCUCCACCAUCAUCUCAGCCCAGGAGAACGAGCAGCAGCUGUCCGGUCCGUCGUCGGGAUGUGGUUUUCCCUCCCCACACCUCGUCCCGAUGCCGACCUUGUACAAGAUGUGAUUCAGGGUGAUCUUAUGGUCGACAUCUGGAGCAGAGAAACUCAGAACGUUAGAGAAGCUGUCAGAAGAUUCGAGCUACUAGAACAUGGCAUAAGGCAGAAAAUAAGAUAAAGCCACCAAAGAAGCUACUGCUGCCGUUAAUUGAUUACUUUCACUUGAGAAUGGAAACUACUCCUGGUUCAGCGUGUCUAGGUUUGUAUUUAUCCUCUGCCUUUUCAGCCCCCAGUUGGGUGCGGCAGAUUGCUGCUCACACUGAGACGGGGUUCUGGUUCUGCUGGUGGUUUCUUCCUGUUAAAGGUGAGCUGUUCCUUUCAACUGUCGCCACAUGCUUGCUCAGAUGGAGGGAUUGGUGCAAAGUUCAUGACUUGAUGCAAGGACCCUUAGAUACUUAACUUUAUACCAGGUGGCAUGUGUUGGAAUAAUUGAAUAAAGAUUUGUCUUAUAGUUUCUCCUAUUUUUUAAGUUAAUUAUUUGAUCUUAUAAUCAUUCAUGAUGUUUGUGUGAGUAAAGGAUGUGUGAGUUUGUCUGCAGGCAAAGAUCAUAAAUGGAGCUGAACUAGCAGAGAAGGAAGCAGUCCAGUUGAGGAGGUCAUAAAGAUGAAGGCUGAUUACACUGAAAGGCACAACUGAUCCUGGGAAGAUGGAGAGAUUGUGGAAAUGUGUUGUUAAAGGAUAAAGUUGUUUAUGACCUGUUUACGAUGCAGCUGUUGUUUCCCAUCCUUAGAGAGCAUCGUUCUUUGUAAAUAGGGACCCCCGAAUGAUAAUAAAAAGAGGAGGCGGACAGAUGCUGUUCAGAGCGGUGCGAGAUCUGUAACUGAACACAUCUCUGACCGUUUCUCCUCGCAGCGAGUAAAAUAACUAA